rnacentral:rRNA from 1 species
GACGAACGCUGGCGGCGUGCUUAACACAUGCAAGUCGAACGGAAAGGCCCUGCUUUUGUGGGGUGCUCGAGUGGCGAACGGGUGAGUAACACGUGAGUAACCUGCCCUUGACUUUGGGAUAACUUCAGGAAACUGGGGCUAAUACCGGAUAGGAGCUCCUGCUGCAUGGUGGGGGUUGGAAAGUUUCGGCGGUUGGGGAUGGACUCGCGGCUUAUCAGCUUGUUGGUGGGGUAGUGGCUGACCAAGGCUUUGACGGGUAGCCGGCCUGAGAGGGUGACCGGCCACCUUGGGACUGAGGGACGGCGCAGACUCCAACGGGAGGCAGCAGGGGGGAGUAUUGCACAAUGGGCGGAAGCCUGAUGCAGAAACGCCGCGUGCGGGAUGACGGCCUUCGGGUUGUAAACAGCUUUCGCCUGUGACGAAGCGUGAGUGACGGUAAUGGGUAAAGAAGCACCGGCUAACUACGUG